UCUUCUCUAGCUCAGUUGGUUAAGGUGUCUGCCAUCCACUCUGCCUGGAUGACAGCAGGAGGUUUUGGGUUCAAUUCCCCCUUGCUGCA